UAAUCCUUUCCUCUCCCUCUUCUGCCUCAUUCUAUUAGUAAACAAGGCCUGUUAACUCAACCUUUCUUGACAUGCUUCCCUCUUCUUCAUGCUCUAGGAGGUCGUCCUUGUGCAUUUCUGUGACCAUAAAAGUCAGUCAAAUCUUGACUUAUAGUCAACCUUCAAGUG
rnacentral:lncRNA from 1 species